rnacentral:misc_RNA from 1 species
GAAAUGCGAUAAGUAGUGUGAAUUGCAGAAUUCAGUGAAUCAUCGAAUCUUUGAACGCACAUUGCGCCCUUUGGAAUUCCUUAGGGCAUGCCUGUUCGAGCGUCAUCUAAACCUUCAAGCCCUGCUUGGUGUUGGGUGCCUGUCCCGCCUCCGCGCGCGGACUCACCUCAAAUCCAUUGGCGGCCCCCGCGUCGGCCACGAGCGCAGCAGAAACGCGAACUCGUGAGCCCGUCCGGGCGGCUCCCAGAAGCUACACCCACCCAGUUUGACCUCGGAUCAGGUAGGGAUACCCGCUGAACUUAAGC